rnacentral:rRNA from 1 species
UACGGAGGGUGCAAGCGUUAUCCGGAUUUACUGGGUUUAAAGGGUGCGCAGGCGGUUAUGUAAGUCAGUGGUGAAAUCUCUAGGCUUAACCUGGAAAUUGCCGUUGAUACUAUAUAUCUUGAAUGCUGUGGAGGUAAGCGGAAUAUGUCAUGUAGCGGUGAAAUGCUUAGAUAUGACAUAGAACACCUAUUGCGAAGGCAGCUUACUACAGGGACAUUGACACUGAGGCACGAAAGCGUGGGGAUCAAACAGG